GCAGCAAUAACAUUAAGAUCAUAGAUGGUAAGAAUAAUCCUUUAAACCAGAAAACCCAAUCUAUACUAAUACCUAAUAUUUUAUGUACAUAUUCAAUAGCUAUCCCAUUGGGCGCCAUCCCUGUUAGAAACAUAAUACUAGUGAUUUUAGUAAUCAUAUAAGUAUUAAUCAUCAAGUAAGAACCUAUCUUCUUUGCUGUUUCUCCUGGAUUAGAAUCCAAUGCUACAGCUACACUUUGAA
rnacentral:antisense_RNA from 1 species